CUACCCUUGGCCAGUGUCUCUUGAGGCGAUAUCAGAGUCUCCAGUGAAGAGAAAACCCUUGAGGUGCUGGACAGGCUUCAUGACAAGCUGCUCCUUUUAAGGGUCACCACAGCAGAUCAUCUGCCCCACCCCACCCUGUCCCCAGCAUCCUCCUGGGACCUGGGACCCUUUUAAUCCGGGUUCGCCGUGUCAGAAGUCAGAGGUCAGCCAAGUCUUGACGCCUGACUCGACUGUUUACAGGCAGUAUGCUGUGAGAGGAGAAGCCAGGGGAGCAAGAGACACAGAGAAAACAGAGGAAGCAGGAACAAGCAGGGCACCCAUGCCAUAUUUACUGCCUUUCCUAGUAAGAGGCAAAGUGUGAACUGUAAUGUGCAUGUUGGUGGAUUUAACCUCCGGCCUUCAAGGCACGCAGGCCUGGGUCUCGCCUGAUCCUGGCGGCUGACACAGCGAUGUGAAAUCAGGGGACGUGAUGAGGAGAAGGGCGCCUCAUGGUGGGCUUCGACUGGGUUUAACAAUGAGAUACUGUCAGUACCUAUGUUUCAGUUUGCUGUCAAACCAGAAAUUACAAGCAGGUUUUUGUUUUGUUUUUUUAAAUCUUGUGGUUGUGUGUAUCACAGGCAGGGUAUCAUCAACCUGAAAGGGAUAUCUGCUGUUGUGGUGUUAUAAAUGUUAGAGCUGAUAACAUGUCAUAAGAAACUUACAAAGAUAAACAUCACAUGAGGUGAGGCCAUACAGGGGAAUGGAGGUGCAGACAAAGCAAAGUGUAAAGGGGACAAAAAGUGAUUAAGAGAAGGAAAACAGAUGGGCAGAUUGAAUUUUAGAGGAGGCGGAGUGCAAAGGGAAUCUUUCUUGUGUAUGUCUGGAGAGAAAGGGAGCCUCUUAUACACUUCACAGCGUGAAUUUGGCCCGGGGCUGUGGCCUCGUCUCGUCUACACAGCGGGUUGCUUUCCUGAGCGGGCUGCCCAGGGGAGGGGCACCUGCAUCAGCCUCAGACAGUGGUCAAGAAGAGAGCCUGAUGGGAGGGGGUGAGGGGUGCUGAAAUGGAAAGAUGCUCGAUGGUUCCAGGAAACUGACAUGUGCUGGAUUUAUGAAACCUUCAGGUAGAACAGAGCGAUGCCCUCUGACGAAAAUAUUUGUCCCCGUUUUUUCCCAGUGGUCUUGAGACAAUGACACCCUCUGUGGUCUCAGGAUGAAAUCUAAAGCUUAAGGAUAAAAGUUAUGAUUGGCACAAGUCCGCCGCUGGAUGCAGCUACCAACACAAAGUUUAAAGGUUGGCCGGCUUGCCAACUGAGACAAUAUUUUCCAUCUUAUUUCAUUGGGUUGACCAAACACAGUGUAUUUGAAGUUUAUCAAACACUCAGUCAUCCCUGCAGAUCUGUGGCAGGACUUAAUCAUCUGAUAUAUGAAGGUUUAGAAUACAUCUACACCCCAAACCUGCCCUCUAUGCAGAGUCAGAAAAUUGAACAACAAGCCCUGCGUGCUUUAAUAUCCACACUCCUGUUGAGUGUCUUUUUUGGAUAACUUUCAUCUUUACACAAGCUACACCCUCCAUCUUCUGUCAUUUUGGUAUGACCCCAGGGGUCCCAAAAUCACUGAGUCUCAUAUUAAAGCGCCUUAUUUCAAAUGUAUACUGAGCUGGCGCU